CUAAGACUGAAUACACUGUUUGUAAUAAUUGGUCAGGUUUUAUUGAGUUGUUGGCUGUGGUUUAAUAUAUUUAAAAAUUCAGUGAAUACAGCUACAAAACUACUCUUUUAUAUGAUUUUAGGAAGACUUUUAUGCUGUUGUGGAUUGAGCAUACAAGAUUGAUCCUCUACGCUGUAUAUCAAUGCAUGGAAUAACAGAGCGCUAUCUAUCUGGUCAGAAAGCUGAUGCAGCAGGGUUUUUUGUUGAUGAAGCUUGCCAUCAAAUUGAAAGAAAUGAAAAGGCUCAACGGGUGUCCUCUCAUAUAUUCCCAGCCAUUUAUGCAAAGUUUGGAACAUAGAAAGAGAGAAGUANAAUAGUAUCUCUAAUGGCAUGAAAGGAUCUCAACAUGGUAUUUUUGUCUCUAUUAUAAAUGUUACAGUAAAAUUUCUCUAUUCUGAUACCUACCUUUUGCAAACUGCACUGGGUUAGUUCACUUUGGGUUCCUGAAAUUACAUGAUUUUUCAAUUUUUUCUUGGAAAAUUUACUUUUCCGGUUGAGCUNACACACACACAUUUGUAGUACAAGUUGGGCAUGAAUUUUAAUUUUUUAAACUGUAUUAAAUUUGGUGUAAGAUCAAUGUAUUAAUUAGGUACAGUUCUAUACUCAGAUUGGUUAAAAUCAUUUCAAUGGAGAAUGAUAUUUAUGAGAUAAAGGUUUUGUUUUGGAAGCAAUUAGAAGUUAGUGUUGCAAUUUUUUCAUUCUAGUAUGUAUU